rnacentral:tRNA from 1 species
GGAGAGGUGGCAGAGUGGUUGAACGCACCGGUCUUGAAAACCGGAGUAUCCGAAAGGGUACCGAGGGUUCGAAUCCCUCCCUCUCCG